rnacentral:misc_RNA from 1 species
GAUGAAGAACGCAGCGAAAUGCGAUAAGUAAUGUGAAUUGCAGAAUUCAGUGAAUCAUCGAAUCUUUGAACGCACCUUGCGCUCUUUGGUAUUCCGAAGAGCAUGCCUGUUUGAGUGUCAUGAAAAUAUCAACCUUGACUUGGGUUUUGUGCUCUAGUCUCGGCUUGGAAUUGGGUGCUUGCCGCUUUUACGAGCGGCUCACCUUAAAUGUAUUAGCUGGAUCUGUCUUUGAGACUUGGUUUGACUUGGCGUAAUAAGUAUUUCGCUAAGGACAUUCUUCGGAGUGGCCUCGUUUCUAGGACGCUUGUCCGCUUUCCAAUACAAGUUCCACCUCGUGGACAUGACUUUUUAUUAUCUGGCCUCAAAUCAGGUAGGACUACCCGCUGAACUUAAGCAUAUCAAUAAGCGGAGGA